rnacentral:rRNA from 1 species
UACGUAUGGGGCAAGCGUUAUCCGGAAUUAUUGGGCGUAAAGAGUGCGUAGGUGGUUACCUAAGCGCAGGGUUUAAUCCUGAGGCUCAACCUCAUUCUGCCUUGCGAACUGGGCUACUUGAGUGCAGGAGGGGAAAGCGGAAUUCCCAGUGUAGCGGUGAAAUGCGUAGAUAUUGGGAAGAACACCGGUGGCGAAGGCGGCUUUCUGGACUGUAACUGACACUGAGGUACGAAAGCGUGGGGAGCAGACA